UACGAAGGGGGCUAGCGUUGCUCGGAAUCACUGGGCGUAAAGCGCACGUAGGCGGAUCUUUAAGUCAGGGGUGAAAUCCUGGAGCUCAACUCCAGAACUGCCUUCGAUACUGGGGAUCUCGAGUCCGGGAGAGGUGAGUGGAACUCCGAGUGUAGAGGUGAAAUUCGUAGAUAUUCGGAAGAACACCAGUGGCGAAGGCGGCUCACUGGCCCGGUACUGACGCUGAGGUGCGAAAGCGUGGGGAGCAAACAGG
rnacentral:rRNA from 1 species